rnacentral:rRNA from 1 species
UGGGGAAUAUUGCACAAUGGGCGAAAGCCUGAUGCAGCAACGCCGCGUGAGGGACGACGGCCUUCGGGUUGUAAACCUCUUUUAGCAAGGAAGAAGCGAAAGUGACGGUACUUGCAGAAAAAGCGCCGGCUAACUACGUGCCAGCAGCCGCGGUAAUACGUAGGGCGCAAGCGUUAUCCGGAAUUAUUGGGCGUAAAGAGCUCGUAGGCGGUUUGUCGCGUCUGCUGUGAAAACCCGAGGCUCAACCUCGGGCCUGCAGUGGGUACGGGCAGACUAGAGUGCGGUAGGGGAGAUUGGAACUCCUGGUGUAGCGGUGGAAUGCGCAGAUAUCAGGAAGAACACCGAUGGCGAAGGCAGAUCUCUGGGCCGUAACUGACGCUGAGGAGCGAAAGGGUGGGGAGCAAACAGGCUUAGAUACCCUGGUAGUCCACCCCGUAAACGUUGGGAACUAGUUGUGGGGUCCAUUCCACGGAUUCCGUGACGCAGCUAACGCAUUAAGUUCCCCGCCUGGGGAGUACGGCCGCAAGGUUAAAACUCAAAGGAAUUGACGGGGUCAUAGCUGUUUCCU